GACAGAGGGUGCAAACGUUGUUCGGAAUUACUGGGCGUAAAGCGUGUGUAGGCGGCUACAUAAGUCGGAUGUGAAAGCCCCGGGCUCAACCCGGGAAGUGCACUCGAUACUGCGUAGCUUGAGUCUCGGAGAGGUUGGUGGAAUUCUCGGUGUAGAGGUGAAAUUCGUAGAUAUCGAGAGGAACACCGGUGGCGAAGGCGGCCAACUGGACGAAGACUGACGCUGGAGACACGAAAGCGUGGGGAGCAAACAGG
rnacentral:rRNA from 1 species